UCCCGGGUAGCUCAGUGGUAAAGCAUCUGCCUGCCAAGCAGAACAUAUGGGCUUGAUCCCUGGGUUGGGAA
rfam:Ovis aries breed Texel chromosome 3, whole genome shotgun sequence.